rnacentral:rRNA from 1 species
GAUGAACGCUAGCGGCGUGCCUAACACAUGCAAGUCGAACGUGAGAGGGUACUUGUAUCCUUGAAAGUGGCGGACGGGUGAGUAAGACGUAGGUGACCUGCCUUGAAGUGGGGAUAACCAUUGGAAACGAUGGCUAAUACCGCAUAAGCUGGUGAUGAUGGGAAUCGUUAUCAGGAAAGCUUUAGUGCUUUGAGAGGGGCCUACGGCCGAUUAGCUAGUUGGUGAGGUAAAGGCUCACCAAGGCGAUGAUCGGUAGCUGGUCUGAGAGGACGAUCAGCCACACGGGAACUGAGACACGGUCCCGACUCCUACGGGGGGCAGCAGUGAGGAAUAUUCGGCAAUGGGGGCAACCCUGACCGAGCAACGCCGCGUGGAGGAUGACGGUUUUCGGAUUGUAAACUCCUUUUCUCAGGGAAGAGCGAGGACGGUACCUGGGGAAUAAGUCACGGCUAACUACGUG